ensembl:lncRNA SIRLNT SIRT1 regulating lncRNA tumor promoter
GGCAGGAGGUGAAGGAGAUGGCACAGGCAGAGGUACAGAGUGGUGACUGAAACCACACGCCAUGUUGGGAGACUUCCAAACAAGUCUAGAGAGUUGGCACUUAGGGAUGAAGAAAUCAUCUUCUGGUCAGUGGCCCGGACAAUGCUUUUGAUGAACAGAUGAUGAGUGACAAUGCAAGAUGAACUGUGACAAGGAUCCCGUGGGUUGUCAAAUGAGUUAAGAGGAAGGAAAAAUUCCUUUGGGUUGCCGAGGCCAAGACAAGCUUCAUUUCAAGCUUAGUCUUGAAGAUGAGUGGGAUUAAGAUAAAAAAUAAAGAAUGGAAAUGAGCAUGAACAAAAACGUGAUGGUGAAAGCAUAUUUGCUAUUUUCAAAAGCCAGGAGCAGUGCUAUCAGUGACAGGCAAACAGGCCUGGAAAAGAAGGUACCAAGACAAGGAUAUCUUCAAAAUACAGGCUUGAGCACUUAAUCUAAAGCCAGAAAAAAACAUUGGCUUCAACUGUCCAUC